rnacentral:tRNA from 1 species
AGCCUCGUGGCGCAAUCGGCUAGCGCGUUCGGCUGUUAACCGAAGGUUGGUGGUUCGGCCACCCGGGGCGA